AGAACGAACGCUGGCGGCAUGGAUUAGGCAUGCAAGUCGAACGGUGCAGCAAUGCAUAGUGGCGCAAGGGUGAGGAACGCGUGAGUAAUCUGCCCUCAAGUUGGGAACAGCUUCUAGGAAACGGAAAUUAAUACCCGAAUGUGACCAUUGGAAGGCAUCUUCAGUGGUUAAAGGCCGCAAGGUCGCUUGAGGAGGGGCUCGCGUCCCAUUAUGCUAGUUGGUGAGGUAACGGCCCACCAAGGCGAAGAUGGGUAGCUGGUCCGAGAGGACGAUCAGCCACACUGGGACUGAGAACUGCCCAGACUCCUACGGGAGGCUGCAGUCGAGAAUUUUGGGCAAUGGACGAAAGUCUGACCCAAGCAAUGCCGCGUGCGGGAUGAAGGUCUUCGGAUUGUAAACCGCUGUCAAGUGGGACGAAACAAAUGACGGUACCGCUGAAGGAAGUCACGGCUAACUACGUGCCAGCAGCCGC
rnacentral:rRNA from 1 species